AAGAUCAUUCCUUCUAUCAAUUGUCCGUUUUAACAAAUAAACUGACCAGGUGCGUUCUUGGAUAGUACGUGUGAAAUGUUCAAAUGAGAUAUUAUUGAAUAUGCCCAUGCCAAGACUCGAUCAGAAUGUAAAGAGACUAAUUGAGAAUGCAGGAAAAAGAAAGAAGAACUUAGACCAUGAACUUAAAAAUCUUCCAUCCAUUGUGUAUGAAUGUUUACUAUGUCCACAUUUCUUUUACUAAUUUUCCUAUAUAUAUCGGAUUAAAAAAAAAAGAGUUUUCUCGGUUAUAUUUAAAUUUUGUGUCCAGAUCUAUAAUUAAAACGCGAUUUACUUUGUCAUUGAGGUAUAAUAAAACUGUUCACAUCGAAGAUUGAUGAUUCAAUUAAUAAAUAGUGAUGAUGA